rnacentral:rRNA from 1 species
GGACGGGACCGCACAAGCGGUGGAUGAUGUGUUUAAUUCGAUGCAACGCGAAAACCUUACCACCUUUGACAUGUACGGAAGCCUUUAGAGAUAGAGGCGUGCUCGAAAGAGAGCCGUAACACAGGUGCUGCAUGGCUGUCGUCAGCUCGUGUCGUGAGAUGUUGGGUUAAGUCCCGCAACGAGCGCAACCCUUGUCAUUAGUUGCUACAUUCAGUUGGGCACUCUAAUGAGACUGCCGGUGACAAGCCGGAGGAAGGUGGGGAUGACGUCAAGUCCUCAUGGCCCUUAUAGGUGGGGCUACACACGUCAUACAAUGGCUGGUACAAAGGGUUGCCAACCCGCGAGGGGGAGCUAAUCCCAUAAAGCCAGUCGUAGUCCGGAUCGUAGUCUGCAACUCGACUACGUGAAGUCGGAAUCGCUAGUAAUCGUGGAUCAGAAUGUCACGGUGAAUACGUUCCCGGGUCUU